rnacentral:rRNA from 1 species
CCUACGGGAGGCAGCAGUGGGGGAUAUUGCACAAUGGGGGAAACCCUGAUGCAGCGACGCCGCGUGAGUGAAGAAGUAUUUCGGUAUUUAAAGCUCUAUCAGCAGGGAAGAAAAUGAAAGUACCUGAACAAGAAGCCCCGGCUAACUACGUGCCAGCAGCCGCGGUAAUACGGAGGGGGCAAGGGUUAUCCGGAUUUACUGGGGGUAAAGGGAGCGUAGUCGGUUGUGUAAGUCAGAAGUGAAAGCCCGGGGCCCAACCCCGGGACUGCAUUGGAAACUGUGGAACUGGAGUGCAGGAGGGGCAGGCGGAAUUACUGGUGUAGCGGUGAAAUGCUUAGAUAUCAGGAGGAACACCGGCGGCGAAGGCGGCUUGCUGGACUGAAACUGACGUUGAGGCUCGAAAGCGUGGGGAGCAAACAGGAUUAGAUACCCUGGUAGUC